rnacentral:rRNA from 1 species
GACGAACGCUGGCGGCGUGCCUAAUACAUGCAAGUCGAACGAGAGCGACCGGUGCUUGCACUGGUCAAUCUAGUGGCGCACGGGUGAGUAACACGUGGGUAACCUGCCCAUCAGAGGGGGAUAACAUCCGGAAACGGAUGCUAAAACCGCAUAGGUCUUCGAACCGCAUGGUUCGAAGAGGAAAAGCGGCCCAAGCUUCUGCUGAUGGAUGGACCCGCGGGGCAUUAGCUAGUUGGUGAGGUAACGGCUCACCAAGGCCGUGAUGCAUAGCCGACCUGAGAGGGUGAUCGGCCACAUUGGGACUGAGACACGGCCCAAACUCCUACGGGAGGCAGCAGUAGGGAAUCUUCCGCAAUGGACGCAAGUCUGACGGAGCAACGCCGCGUGAGUGAAGAAGGUGUUCGGAUCGUAAAACUCUGUUGUUAGAGAAGAACAAGUGCUAGAGUAACUGUUAGCGCCUUGACGGUAGCUAACCAGAAAGCCACGGCUAACUACGUG